rnacentral:lncRNA from 10 species
GUAGCCCACCACCAGGCCUGGCUAUUUUUCUUUUUUUUUUUUUUUUUUAAGACGGAGUCUCACUCUUUCACCCAGGCUGGAGUGCAGUGGUGCUAUCUUGGCUCACUGCAACCUCCGCCUUCCGGGUUCAAACGAUUCUCCUGCCUCAGCCUCCCGAGCAACUGGGAUUACAGGUGCCUGCCACUAGGCCCAGCUAAUUUUUGUAUUUUUAGUAGAGACAGGGUUUCACCAUGUUGGUCAGGCUGGUCUCCAACUCCUGACCUUAGGAUCCGCCCACCUUGGCCUCCCAAAGUGCUGGAAUUACAGGCUUGAGCCACCGCACCCAGCCCAGGCCUGGCUAUUUUUCUUUAAUUUUCCGUAGAGAUGGAGUCUCGCUGUGUUGCCCAGGCUGAGAUUGUCACUUUCAAAGCAUGUUUUUCCCUUCUCCAUGUGAGGAUUACACAACCAUUUCACACAUAAUACCGAUAAUAAUAAUUAUUAUCACCAUUAUUAUAUCAGUCACCAUUUAAUGGGCCCCUCCCAUCUCUGCAUCCCAACCCUCCAGAGUCACAGACUGAACCAAUGGAAAGAGAACCAGCAUGAGCCACUGUGCCUGGCUGAGACUUUGUAAAAAAAAAAAAAAAAAAAAAACACACGGUGUGGGGGUCAGACCAAGGGUAUCAAACCCUGAUUUUCCCACGGCCUCAUCAUGUGACCUCAAACAGGUAACAGGUCACUUCCUCGCUGUCUCACUUUUCUCAUCUGUAAAAUGAGGAUAAUAAAACAAAAGACUGGAGGGUUCUGAAAGCACUAAAUUGGCCUUGUGUAAGCAAAGUACCUGGCACAUGAGAGACUCCAUGAACUUCAGUUCCUUCCCCUGGCUUUAUUUUAGUUAUUUGUUUGUUUGUUUGCUUUUCUACUCCACAAUAGAGGUAAUGGACUGUUUUUAUUUAAACAAAUGUUAAAAUGUCAUUUAACAGAUAUUCACUGUCACUGUGUCCCUGGUCCUGUCCUUGGUACUGGUAACAUAGAGUGGCAUCCCAGGUGAGCAGGAAGCAGGGAGGCACCCCCUGUGCAAGGGCGAUCCCCACCGAGACUAGGGUCUGCCUAUCUGGAUUAAGAGCCACGAUUCCAAAUUCCUGCUGCCUUGCCACUCACUAUGUGAUAGAUAAUAAUGUUUUGUGAUCCUAAACAUGUCAAAAUGGAGUCACUUAUGACAAGUGACUCAGCCUACAGUUAAACUGCUGACCUCUCAAAGUGUACGGUGGACAGAGGGGAUAACACCUGCUGUGGUCAGGCACCCCCAAGACCUAACAAGAAAGAGAAGCCACAGGGCAGCUGAGAUAAUGGCUAUGGAGACUCUUGCAGAGGGCCAUGAACACCGCAAUAAACUGACCAUCACGGGGCGUCAUGGCUCAUACCUGUAACCCCAACAUUUUGGAAGGAUGAAGUAAGGAGAUUGCUUGAACCCAGCAGUUCAAGAUAAGCCUGGCAACAUAGGGAGACCUCAUCUCUACAAAAACUUUAAAAAGUUGGCCAGGCACGGUGGCUCACGCCUGUAAUACCAGCACUUUGGGAGGCCAAGGCAGGCGGUCACUUGAGGUCAGGAGUUCGAGACCAUCCUGGCCAACAUGGUGAAACCCCAUCUCUGCUAAAAAUACCAAAAAAAAUUAGCCGGGCAUGGUGGCACAUGCCUGUAGUCCCAGCUACUCGGGAGGGUGAGGCAGGAAAAUCGCUUGAACCCAGGAAGCAGAGGUUGCAGUGAGCCAAGAUCGUGCCACUGCACUCCAGCCUGGGUGAUAGAGCAAGACUCAGUCUCUGAAAAAAAAAAAAAAAAAAAGCUAGGCGGUGUACGCCGGUAGUCCCAGCUACCCCUGAGGCUGAGGUGGGAGGAUCACGUGAGCUAGGGAGGAUGAGGCUGCAGUAAGCCGUGAUGAUGCCUCUGCACUCCAGCCUGGGUAACACAGCGAGACCCUGUCUCAAAAAAGAAAGAAAAGAAAAAGAAACUGGCCAUGGCAGAGAUGCCUGUGGGAGCUCUACCAGUGAGAACUCUGAGGCCUCUUUUCCAUCAGGCAACCCUCCGAAGCUCUGCUGGGAGAAGAGCCUCGGCCCCCCCACCCCUUCAGCCCCCCAACCCUUGUUGGCAUUCUGAGGGAAAACAGUCAGCACAGUCAUCCCAGAGCUACUGGAGCUACUCCCUGUGGCUUGUUCCUCCUCUCUCAUUACUGCCUAUGUGUUGGUGUGAAAGCCUCUCAAUAAACCAUGAAUUUGUAAACAUUUAAUUGGCCAUUGAGUCAUCACAAAACUUCCCUCCCACCCCCACCUCCCAAUCAGAGUUAGC